rnacentral:rRNA from 1 species
GACGAACGCUGGCGGCGUGCCUAACACAUGCAAGUCGAACGGAGAUACGAUUUCGGUUGUAUCUUAGUGGCGAACGGGUGAGUAACGCGUGAACAACCUGACUCUAGGAGGGGGAUAACACUCGGAAACGGGUGCUAAUACCGCAUAAGACCACGACCCGGCAUCGGGAUGAGGUCAAAGGAGCAAUCCGCUGAGAGAGGGGUUCGCGUCCCAUUAGAUAGAUGGCGGGGUAACGGCCCACCAUGUCAACGAUGGGUAGCCGAGCUGAGAGGAUGAUCGGCCACACUGGAACUGAGACACGGUCCAGACUCCUACGGGAGGCAGCAGUGGGGAAUAUUGGGCAAUGGGCGCAAGCCUGACCCAGCAACGCCGCGUGAGGGAAGAAGGCUUUCGGGUUGUAAACCUCUGUCCUUGGUGACGAAACAAAUGACGGUAGCCAAGGAGGAAGCCCCGGCUAACUACGUGCCAGCCGCCGCGGUAAUAC